rnacentral:rRNA from 1 species
AACGAACGUUGGCGGCGUGGAUUAGGCAUGCAAGUCGAGCGAAUCCCACUGCUGUAGCAAUACAGUGGUGGGGGAAGCGGCGCAAGGGGCAGUAAUGCAUGGAUAACCUACCCUGGGGACGGGGAUAGCUUCUCUAACGAGAAGGUAAUACCCGAUGACGUGGCCGGUAGACAUCUCUGGUCACCAAAUGAAUUUCGCCCUGGGAGGGGUUCAUGUGGUAUUAGCUUGUUGGUGAGGUAACGGCUCACCAAGGCCAAGAUGCCUAGCUGGUGUGAGAGCAUGACCAGCGCCACUGGGACUGAGACACUGCCCAGACUCCUACGGGAGGCUGCAGUCGAGGAUCUUCCGCAAUGGGCGAAAGCCUGACGGAGCGACGCCGCGUGUGCGAUGAAGGCCUUCGGGUUGUAAAGCACUGUCGAGGGGGAGAAAAGGCAACUUGAUCUACCCCUGGAGGAAGGACGGGCUAAGUUCGUGCCAGCAGCCGCCGUAAGAC